GUGCUUGCUUCGGCAGCACAUAUACUAAAGUUGGAACCAUAUGGGAAUAUUAGCAUGACUCCUGCGCAAGGAUGACAUGCAAAUUUGGAAACUGUUCCAUAUUUUU
rnacentral:snRNA from 1 species